GAUGAACGCUGGCGGCGUGCUUAACACAUGCAAGUCGAACGAUGAAGCCCAGCUUGCUGGGUGGAUUAGUGGCGAACGGGUGAGUAACACGUGAGUAACCUGCCCUUAACUCUGGGAUAAGCCUGGGAAACUGGGUCUAAUACCGGAUAGGAGCGUCCACCGCAUGGUGGGUGUUGGAAAGAUUUAUCGGUUUUGGAUGGACUCGCGGCCUAUCAGCUUGUUGGUGAGGUAAUGGCUCACCAAGGCGACGACGGGUAGCCGGCCUGAGGGUGACCGGCCACACUGGGACUGAGACACGGCCCAGACUCCUACGGGAGGCAGCAGUGGGGAAUAUUGCACAAUGGGCGCAAGCCUGAUGCAGCGACGCCGCGUGAGGGAUGACGGCCUUCGGGUUGUAAACCUCUUUCAGUAGGGAAGAAGCGAAAGUGACGGUACCUGCAGAAGAAGCACCGGCUAACUACGUG
rnacentral:rRNA from 1 species